CCUACGGGUGGCAGCAGUGAGGAAUAUUGGUCAAUGGACGAGAGUCUGAACCAGCCAAGUAGCGUGAAGGAUGACUGCCCUCUGGGUUGUAAACUUCUUUUAUAUGGGAAUAAAAUGUUCCACGUGUGGGGUUUUGUAUGUACCAUAUGAAUAAGGAUCGGCUAACUCCGUGCCAGCAGCCGCGGUAAUACGGAGGAUCCGAGCGUUAUCCGGAUUUAUUGGGUUUAAAGGGAGCGUAGGUGGAUUGUUAAGUCAGAUGUGAAAGUCUGCGGCUCAACGGUGAAAUUGCAGUUGAAACUGGCAGUCUUGAGUGUAGUAGAGGUGGGCGGAAUUCGUGGUGUAGCGGUGAAAUGCAUAGAGAUCACGAAGAACUCCGAUUGCGAAGGCAGCUCACUGGACUGCAACUGACACUGAGGCUCGAAAGUGUGGGUAGCAAACAGGAUUAGAUACCCGUGUAGUC
rnacentral:rRNA from 1 species